CUUUCUUUGCUGGCGACCGGCGCACGGGUGAGUAACACGUAUCCAACCUGCCCUUUACUCGGGGAUAGCCUUUCGAAAGAAAGAUUAAUACCCGAUAGCAUAAUGAUUCCGCAUGGUUUCAUUAUUAAAGGAUUCCGGUAAAGGAUGGGGAUGCGUUCCAUUAGGUUGUUGGUGAGGUAACGGCUCACCAAGCCUUCGAUGGAUAGGGGUUCUGAGAGGAAGGUCCCCCGCAUUGGAACUGAGACACGGUCCAA
rnacentral:rRNA from 1 species